rnacentral:rRNA from 1 species
UACGUAGGGGGCAAGCGUUGUCCGGAUUUAUUGGGCGUAAAGCGCUCGCAGGUGGUUCGAUACGUCGUGCGUGAAAGACCCCGGCUCAACUGGGGAGUGUCGUGCGAUACGGUCGGACUGGAGGCCAGUAGGGGGAUGCGGAAUUCCGGGUGUAGUGGUGGAAUGCGUAGAGAUCCGGAGGAACACCAGCGGCGAAGGCGGCAUCCUGGACUGGUCCUGACACUCAUGAGCGAAAGCGUGGG